UACGAAGGGGGCAAGCGUUGCUCGGAAUUACUGGGCGUAAAGGGCGCGUAGGCGGCUCUUUAAGUCAGAUGUGAAAGCCCCGGGCUUAACCUGGGAACAGCAUUUGAUACUCGAGAGCUUGAGUUCGGGAGAGGAGAGUGGAAUUCCCAGUGCAGAGGUGAAAUGCGUAGAUAUCGGGAGGAACACCUGCGGCGAAAGCGGCUCACUGGACCACAACUGACGCUGAGGCGCGAAAGCUAGGGGAGCAAACAGG
rnacentral:rRNA from 1 species